AUUUCUACCUGUUCAUGAUGAUGAGUAAGGUCUGAGAGUGGGAGCGACUGGAGGAAAUAGGUGAUUCUUACCAGUGGUUCUCAAAGGCUCUCACACAGUUCUGUGAAUGCCUGGGACAUGGAGAGACUGGUUGCCAGCAGGAAGAGAGGAAGCCCCUUCAUCAGCUUCCACCAAGAAACCUUGUCUGUAUUCUGUACUUGAAGACCUGUAUUCAGGUUUAUGCUGUCUUCCCACAUUUCUUACCAUCCAAAGGAAUCACUUCCCACUGAAUUUGCCACUCGCUUCUCAGUAUUACAUCCAAAAGCUACAGGAGACAUACCUGGUAGGUA
rnacentral:lncRNA from 1 species